AGCGAUUCUCCUGUCUCAGCCUCCCGAGCGGGUGGGACUACAGCUGCCAGAGUCUCUCCUGGAGGCGGAUCUUAGCUUUCUGUCUCUGGAAGUUCCUACUCCACCCCUGAUCUUCAGCCAGAAUGGAAGGCAAGAUGGGGACACAGAACGGGUUUAUCAUGACAACGAAGACAAUUCUAAACAGGGGAGGAGGGCGUGGUCUCCACCUCUCCUUCUCCAUUCAAUCAAACAUCAAGCGCUGACUCUGCUAUGUGUCCAGCCUUUAGGAGCGAGAGAGACGUGAGCCUGAAGCCUCAGACAAGCUCCUUAACCCCGCUAAGCCUGCUUCUCACCUGCACAAUGGGGGUAAUAAAACCUACUUCCAAGGGAAAUUCAGUGAUGAAUGCUUAUGGAAUGCUUAGUACUGGCACAUGGUCAUUGGAAAAGAAAUGAAGGCCAUUAUCUGGAGUACUAAGCAGUUCCUGUGGGAUCCAGCCCCAGCCCCAGGGGCCAGCCUGGCACUCACUGAUCUUCUCCAGCUUCUGAUCGCCAUCCUUGAACAGGGCAAAGGUGGCCAUCGCCAGCCUUCGAUGCAGCU